UACGUAGGUGGCAAGCGCUGUCCGGAUUCACUGGGCGUAAAGGGUGUGCAGGCGGACUGGCGUGUCGGUGGUGAAAGCCCUCGGCUUAACCGAGGAAGGGCUGCCGAAACUACCAGUCUAGAGGGCGGAAGAGGAAACUGGAACUUCUGGUGUAGCGGUAAAAUGCGUAGAUAUCAGAAGGAACGCCGAUAGCGAAGGCAGGUUUCUGGGACGUUCCUGACGCUGAAACACGAAAGCUAGGGGAG
rnacentral:rRNA from 1 species